AGUGCGCAGGGAGACUAGCACAGGCCGGCAGAGAAGUGACCCAGCCCCGGAUUGCCUGGUAACCUUCCGUUCCCAGGAGGCUGCUGUGAGGCUCCUCUGGAAGUGAGAGUUCAGAGAGCAGAGACAACCGUCCAGAGCUAGACCUUGAAGACUCCUCAACGCUGAAGGUCACCGAGAGGAGGGACAGCCAAGGAAACUGAGUCGCAGCAGCCGUGGAGGCAGGCGG
rnacentral:misc_RNA from 1 species